rnacentral:lncRNA from 1 species
UGUUUGUUGGUCGAUUUUAGCGAAAGCUACACUGUAUUAAUCGACGAAAACAUUGUUUUAUCCUAAACAGAUGAGGAGUGGACGCAUACCACACAUCGAACGAAUUUAGAAAUCUACAUUCGGAAAAGCGUCAUUUAUCUCUACUCAACAAUCAUGGCCGAAACAUUGUUUUGCAUCACCUUAAGACAGUAUGUCCUUCA